GAUCAUGGCUCAGGACGAACGCUGGCGGCGUGCCUAACACAUGCAAGUCGAGCGGAGACAGUGAGUAGCUUGCUACGAACUGUUUUAGCGGCGGACGGGUGAGUAACGCGUGAGCAACCUUUCCCAGACAGGGGAAUAACACACCGAAGGUGUACUAAUACCGCAUAAGACCACGGUUUCACAUGGAACUGAAGGUAAAAGAUUUAUCGGGUUUGGGGUGGCUCGCGUCCGAUUAGGUAGUUGGUGAGGUAACGG
rnacentral:rRNA from 1 species